CUAAAUAUGCUCUAAUUAAAUUUUAAUAAUGCUAAACAAGCUUUAAUCAAAUUCAAAAUAAAUCUUAAAUAAAUUACAAAAGAAACAAUAAGAAAUCUUAAAGGAGCUCAAAGAAAAUCCACAAUAAAUUUUAAAAGAAUCUUUAAGAAGUUCUAAAAAAUAUUAAAAUAAUCACAAAUAUAUCUUAAAUAAAUCUCAACAAAGUUUUAAUUUAAUCCUAGUUGAAAUCCUAGAAGUCUUUAAUUUAACCUUAAAAAAAUUCUAAAUCUUAAAUCAAAUCCUAAAUCAAAUUCUAAAUUCUAAAUCAAAUCCUAAAUCAAAUCCUAGACAAAUCUUAAAUCCUAAAUCAAAUCCUAACCAAUUUCUAAUCAAUUCAAUCUAAUCCUAGCACUAUUUAAAACCUUGAUAUCUAUCAAUCAAAUGUUUGGUCUUAUCUA
rnacentral:lncRNA from 1 species